UCACGGAUUCUUCUCCAUGGAGAAUCAAAUAACCCCCUUUCCACACCAAGCAGAUACAACAUAUAUAAUUAGAAACGGCGCAAAAAAAACUUCAGUUGCCAAAGUGCUCAAUGUUCUGGUGUUGUUGGGAACAUUGGUAUAUGGAUGUCAAUACAUGCUAAUGUUCGAGUAUCAGGUGUAGCAAGGUGGUAUGUUCAGUGUUAUUAAAGGCGCGGUUAAGCCCUGAAAUGAGACUCAAAACAUGUUAAGCAUUUUGCCUCACUUUGUGGGCGCUUCAGUGUUGUCAUCAAGGCUCUAAGGCAUAUUUUUCCUUGCCAAUGAGCGUAAUCUUGAAGAGAUGAUACUAAACAAUUGAUAUUUUACUUUAUCGUAAAUUUUCUUCAAUUUCUUUGUCCGUAUAUUUGGUAUUCAUGCAUAUAGAUAUUAGUCUUGGACUACACAUACAUAUUUAUCAUUUUUCUCCAUUAGCGCCUUUCUUCAUUAAAGUCCACGCUCUUUUUGCGCUUUGUGCUUAAAGCCCCAACAGACCUUAAAGUUUUUUUGCGCUUUUCGCCUUUGAUAACACUGGGUAUAUUCGAGAGGCUUUGCAGGCUCUUUUGUUCACGUCUCAAAAUAAUUUCAACAGGAGCGACACUAAGGUCCUUUGUUGUAUAAAUUGAAUUGAGAUCUUUUGAAGGUAGAUAGUUGUUCGUGUUGGUAAAUUUUCAGCAUUGAUAGUCGUUGAAAUGGAUGUAACGGGUGUUUCCAUCCUUUAUGCAACUUUGAAUGAGUGGUUGGGGGUGGAUUCAACUGGAGCAAUAAAGGCAACAUAUUGUAAGAAAAGUUACCUUAAGCAUGCAACAAAGAACUUUGCCUCAGCUGUAAAGGAACAUGUAGCUUCUGAUGAAGGUGUUUUCAAUUGGUACAACAACA